GUGCUCACUUCAGCAGCACAUAUACUAAAACUGGAACGAUACAGAGAAGAUUUUCAUGCCCCUGUGCAAGGAGGAUACGCAAAUUUGUGAAGCGUUCCAUAUUUUU
rnacentral:snRNA from 1 species